GCAGGAAGUCAUUCCCCCAAAAGUUGGUUUCUGGUCUGCAUUGAUCCAAGAGGGCUCCAGACAACAGGUGGAGAGGAGACCAUCUCACGCUGAACUGAACCAGUGUCUGGGUGUGGAGGAUCCACCUGAGGAUUGUUGCCAACAGCCAUAAAAAGAGAACUGGAGGGGAAGAUCGAAGGCUGUUGAUUUUCUAGGAGCAGCUUGUGUGGAUGGUCUUCCUGAUAGGAACUCGGCUGUUUUCAUCAGAGGGGGAGCUCAGGCCUCACUGUGGCUGGGAAUGGCUGCUGUUCUGUCAGGGGAGCUCUGAUCUUCACCGUGAGCAUCACUUCCUGGCUCCAGUAUGGAUCCCUCAGCCUGUGGCACAAAUCCUUCACCCCACCGGCAUAGGCUUUCUGGCUCCCACCACUGGCCUUUGGGCCUUCAGGUGCAGAUCCUCAAUACUGACAAGCGUGAGACGUUGCCAUGGGCUCUGGGCCUCUGGCUGGACUCAUGGAGGACACUGCCUUGGGCUCUAAGCCUUUAGCUGGACUUGUGUGGGAAAUUGCUGAUCCAGGCUCUCGGCUAGAUUCUUUGGGCCCCUAAUGUGUGGCUAAUCUCUUGCACUCCUUUGCAUUUGACUUUUGGGGUAAUUAUCAUAAAGUAAUCCUAUAAACUAUGUGUCCUGCAGUAAAUUUAUUCUCUUGCCAAACCCUGACUAUAGCAAUCUCCAAACUGAGUCUUAUCUAAAAGUCCUUCUAAAAUGUCUUUGGAAUUUAUUAAAAUGUUUCUACAUGC
rnacentral:lncRNA from 1 species